rnacentral:rRNA from 1 species
CAGCCGCCGCGGGAAAACGAAGGGGGCUAGCGUUGUUCGGAUUUACUGGGCGUAAAGGGCGCGUAGGCGGGCUGAUAAGUCAGGGGUGAAAUCCCAAGGCUCGACCUUGGAACUGCCUUUGAUACUGUUUGUCUUGAGUUCGAGAGAGGUAAGUGGAACUGCGAGUGUAGAGGUGAAAUUCGUAGAUAUUCGCAAGAACACCAGUGGCGAAGGCGGCUUACUGGCUCGAAACUGACGCUGAGGCGCGAAAGCGUGGGGAGCGAACAGGAUUAGAUACCCCCGUAGUCCCUGUCUCUUAUAC